GUGUCAGCCGCCGCGGUAAUACAGAGGGUGCGAGCGUUGUCCGGAAUCACUGGGCGUAAAGGGCGCGUAGGCGGUCUCUUAAGCGUGUGGUGAAAGCCCGGGGCUCAACUCCGGGUCGGCCGUGCGAACUGGGGGACUGGAGCUUGUCAGAGGCAGGCGGAAUUCCGGGUGUAGCGGUGGAAUGCGUAGAGAUCCGGAAGAACACCGGUGGCGAAGGCGGCCUGCUGGGACAGUGCUGACGCUGAGGCGCGACAGCGUGGGGAGCAAACAGGAUUAGAUACCCCGGUAGUCC
rnacentral:rRNA from 1 species